rnacentral:rRNA from 1 species
AUGGCGGCGUUCCUGAGGUCAAAGUGCUCCUCAGUUGGGCGUACGUUGAUGGGAAGCGUUGGAAACAAUCUGAAUGGGGGUAUCAAUUCCUCUGCUGAAACUGUGACAAGACCAUCUCACUGUGAUGCUAUCAGCCAGCAAAUCAGGACAUUCAUCCAGAUGAGAACCAACCUCAAGGUGGUAGACAACUCUGGAGCCAAACGGGUCAUGUGCAUACAGUCCUUGAGGGGGAAGAAAGGAGCAAGGCUAGGGGACAUGAUAAUUGGUUCUGUGAAGGAAGCGCAACCUCGCGGCAAGGUCAAGAAAGGUGAUGUGGUCUAUGGUGUGGUUGUCCGUGCCGCUAUGAAGAAAGGACGUAGUGACGGCAGCGAGGUCCAGUUCGAUGACAACGCUAUCGUCAUCGUGAACAACAAAGGCGAGCUGAUUGGCACUCGCGUCUUCGGUCCUGUUCCCCAUGAGCUCAGGAAGAAGAAGCAUCUCAAGAUCUUGGCAUUGGCUGAACACAUAGUUUGA